GAACGUCACUUCGGGCAUGUUCGGUAGUCCUAAAAAUUCCUGUUUCAGGAAUUUUGUCCUGGCUAACGUACUAAAUCUGUCAACGUCGCAUACUUUUCAAUCUUGUUUUGUUUUGGAAUUUGACAAGAUUAACCUCAGAAAAAGUUUAAAAUUAUAAUUUUUAUGAACAUUGACGAAUAAUGUUAUGAAUAAUGUAAUAGAACCUGAUAUAAAAUAAUCCGGAAAUAUUUACAAAUAAAGCAUAAACAAAAUGAAAGUGAUAGCAACACGAUUACCUUUGAUAAUGUGUUUUUUAUAUAAGAAUACGUCUACAUGGGUUGAAAUCUCAGAAAAUAUUAAGCUAUCCACAAAUUCCUGAAAAUAAAUUAGCCGUGAUUUGCGGAAAAAAUGUUCUUAAUUAUUUUUCCCACAUGAUGUCCUUUCAGGUUCCAGGAAACAGCACGGGCAUGUAUUAGGCAUAAUAAGUAAUUAUAAAAAUAUGAGCAAAAAUGAGAUGGUUUAAAAGAGUGAAAAUUUUAAGGUUAAGAAAUCUGAAACUCAAAGGAAAACUGAUUAAAAACUGAUAAAUAAGUACCGUUAAACUGGAAAAGCAAACUACUAUACGCAUAAUACAAAAGACAAUUUAUCAUCUUUAAAACCAUAAGGCAUAUGAUAUAUGAGAUAGCACAAGGACAUAUCGGCAAGCCUUAGGUUGGUGUUUACGCGUGUAGGUGUGAAUCGCUAUGGUGAUCUGGUCGGAGAUAGAAAAAUAUAAAAUAUUUAUUACAUAACCACACUUAAUCUGAUGAUUUCCUAUGCAUUCAAUACCAAGUUCAAUACAUCUGAUUGUAAUAAGCAUAUUGGCCAUACUCUUCAUAUACAU
rnacentral:lncRNA from 1 species